AUACGGAGGAUCCGAGCGUUAUCCGGAUUUAUUGGGUUUAAAGGGUGCGCAGGCGGCCAUUUAAGUCAGCGGUUAAAUCGUGGGGCUCAACCCCAUUCUGUCGUUGAUACUGGGUGGCUUGAUUGCGGCCGAGGUUGGCGGAAUUCGUUGUGUAGCGGUGAAAUGCAUAGAUAUGACGAAGAACACCGAUUGCGUAGGCAGCUGACCAGACCGCAAAUGACGCUCAUGCACGAAAGUGCGGGGAUCGAACAGGAUUAGAUACCCUGGUAGUCCGCACAGUAAACGAUGAAUACUUGUUUUCGGCGAUAUAAUGUCGGAGGCAAAGCGAAAGCGAUAAGUAUUCCACCUGGGGAGUACGCCGGCAACGGUGAAACUCAAAGGAAUUGACGGGG
rnacentral:rRNA from 1 species